rnacentral:rRNA from 1 species
GAUGAACGCUGGCGGCGUGCCUAAUACAUGCAAGUCGAGCGAACAGACGAGGAGCUUGCUCCUCUGACGUUAGCGGCGGACGGGUGAGUAACACGUGGAUAACCUACCUAAAAGACUGGGAUAACUUCGGGAAACCGGAGCUAAUACCGGAUAAUAUAUUGAACCGCAUGGUUCAAUAGUGAAAGACGGUUUUGCUGUCACUUAUAGAUGGAUCCGCGCCGCAUUAGCUAGUUGGUAAGGUAACGGCUUACCAAGGCAACGAUGCGUAGCCGACCUGAGAGGGUGAUCAGCCACACUGGAACUGAGACACGGUCCAGACUCCUACGGGAGGCAGCAGUGGGGAAUCUUCCGCAAUGGGCGAAAGCCUGACGGAGCAACGCCGCGUGAGUGAUGAAGGUCUUCGGAUCGUAAAACUCUGUUAUUAGGGAAGAACAAAUGUGUAAGUAACUAUGCACGUCUUGACGGUACCUAAUCAGAAAGCCACGGCUAACUACGUG